AGGGGUUAACACAUGGAUUUUGAGAAAAUUUCAAAAAAUAUGACAAUAUUGUUUUAAUGCAUAUUUGCAUCUUGCACUAACAUAUGAUGAUGUUCAAAGAGGUUUGGAGCCUUUGUUGUCUCCGGUUUUCAAGAAACUAGUUAUUUUAAAAUGGUUAUUCCGUCGAUUUAGGGAGUAUAUGAAGUUUUACUAAAUUAAUUUAUAAAAAAAAUUAAACGAUGCUCAUGUACCAUGAAAGAGAGUUUAGCACACAUUAAUACAAAUGUAGAAUAUGGUUAGAAAUUUUAAAACAACUUUAAAGAAUAUAGGCUUCAGUAUAUAUAACAUUUACCAAAAUUUAAUAUUUUUGUAGGGGUUAAAACAUAGAUUUUGAGAAAAUUUUAAAAAAUAUGACAAUAUUGUUUUAAUGCAUAGUUGCGUCUUGCACUAACAUAUGAUGAUGUUGAAAUAGGUUUGGAGCCUUUGUUGUCUCCUUUUUUAAAGAAAAUAGCGAUCGUAUAGUGGUUAUUUCAUUGAUAUAGGUAGUAUUAUGAAGUUUUACUAAAUUAAUUGAUAAAAGAUUAAACAAAUUCCAAUAAACUAUGAAAGCGAGUUUAACAUACAUUAAUACAAAUGUAGAAUGUGGUUAGAAAUAUUAAAACAACACUAAAAAGUUUGGGCUUCAGUAUAUAGAGUGUUUAACGUAAAACUCAAUAUUUUCGUAGGGGUUAACACAUAGAUUCUGAGAAAAAUUU